rnacentral:rRNA from 1 species
UACGGAGGAUGCAAGCGUUAUCCGGAAUGAUUGGGCGUAAAGCGUCCGCAGGUGGUUGUAUGCGUCAAUGGUCAAAGCAUCAUGCUUAAAAUGAUAAAGGCAGUAGAAACUACACGACUAGAGAGCGUUCGGGGCAGAUGGAAUUCCAGGUGUAGCGGUGAAAUGCGUAGAGAUCAGGAAGAACACCGAUGGCGAAAGCGCUCUGCUAGGCCAAACCUGACACUGAGGGACGAAAGCUAGGGGAGCGAAUGGG